GUGAACAUGAUCAGUUUGGAGUAUGUGGCUGGUAUUACACAUUUGUGUAAUGUUUUAGUGUGCAUAUAAAGUUAUUUAGUGUGCAUGUAUAGGUGUGUUUGUGCACUGUGUUUCCAAUUCCCAUCUGCCACCCUUUAUCUUUCUCCAUCCUCCUCCAUGAAUCUCUGCCUCACAUGUGUACCUCUCCCCCCUUUCCCCAACAAUCCC